rnacentral:rRNA from 1 species
GACAGAGGUGCCGAGCGUUAGGCGGAAUCACUGGGCUUAAAGCGUGUGUAGGCGGAUGCCUAAGUGCCUUGUGAAAUCCCACGGCUCAACCGUGGAACUGCUUGGUAUACUGGGUGUCUUGAGCCACUUAGGGGCAAGCGGAACAAAUGGUGGAGCGGUGAAAUGCGUAGAUAUCGCUUGGAACGCCAACGGUGAAAACAGGUUGCUGGGGGUGUGCUGACGCUGAGACACGAAAGCCAGGGGAGCGAACGGG